CCUUGCAUGUCAACAUUUGAUGCAUAACAUGGAUGCUGUAUUUUCUCCAACAAGUUUUCAGAGUAUGUGGGUCGGUAACAUUAGGAACUGUUAUAAUCUUGGUCCUGCGCAAGCUUCGCCGGAAACCAAGAAUGUCUACGAUAGCAGAAGAAAUAGAAGCUCCAAAGAAUUUCCAAACCUAUGCAGUUAUUGUGAUCGAAUGAAAACCGAAUUCUGGCCAGAUUGGGAGGAGUGUAUAACUCAUGGUGGAACAAGAAAAGCAACGAAAUAAGUCAACCUUUCACAAAAUAGAAUUAUCAGUGCUUAUUGUCAUUACGAGAAUCAACGGAUUGUGUUGUAUUAUGUAAUAAUGCUUGUAUUUGCAAACUGUGCAGAAAGGUAUAUGAUCCUUGACGUUUGCAGAAAUAAUGUAUUAUAUUUAUGCUUUGUUUUUGUAUGCGUGCCUAUAUAUACGCAUCUAUUAAACGAAUUUAAUGCACCGUAGAGUUAAAUUAAGUCACCAUGGUUCAUAAUCAAUUGAAGUCGCAUACUACUUAAUGUUCUAUGUAUUUCUUACAUACC